UACGAAGGGGGCUAGCGUUGACUCGGAAUCACUGGGCGUAAAGCGCACGUUAGGCGGAUUGUUAAGUCAGGGGUGAAAUCCUGGAGCUCAACUCCAGAACUGCCUUUGAUACUGGCGGAUCGUUGAGUCCGGGAGGAGGUGGAGUGGAACUGCGAGUGUAGAGGUGAAAUUCGUAGAUAUUCGCAAGAACACCAGUGGCGAAGGCGGCUCACUGGCCCGGUACUGACGCUGAGGUGCGAAAGCGUGGGGAGCAACAGGAUUAGAUACCUUGACUCCAGACA
rnacentral:rRNA from 1 species